rnacentral:rRNA from 1 species
GAUGAACGCUGGCGGCGUGCCUAAUACAUGCAAGUCGAGCGAACGGACGAGAAGCUUGCUUCUCUGAUGUUAGCGGCGGACGGGUGAGUAACACGUGGAUAACCUACCUAUAAGACUGGGAUAACUUCGGGAAACCGGGGCUAAUACCGGAUAAUAUUUUGAACCGCAUGGUUCAAAAGUGAAAGACGGUCUUGCUGUCACUUAUAGAUGGAUCCGCGCUGCAUUAGCUAGUUGGUAAGGUAACGGCUUACCAAGGCAACGAUGCAUAGCCGACCUGAGAGGGUGAUCGGCCACACUGGAACUGAGACACGGUCCAGACUCCUACGGGAGGCAGCAGUAGGGAAUCUUCCGCAAUGGGCGAAAGCCUGACGGAGCAACGCCGCGUGAGUGAUGAAGGUCUUCGGAUCGUAAAACUCUGUUAUUAGGGAAGAACAUAUGUGUAAGUAACUGUGCACAUCUUGAUGGUACCUAAUCAGAAAGCCACGGCUAACUACGUG